UAAGCGGGCACCUGGACGGUACCUAACCAGAAAGCCAGGGCUAACUACGUGCCAGCAGCCGCGGUAAUAGGUAGGUGGCAAGCGUUAUCGGGAAUUAUUGGGCGUAAAGCGCGCGCAGGUGGUUUCUUAAGUCUGAUGUGAAAGCCCACGGCUCAACCGGGGAGGGUCAUUGGAAACUGGGAGACUUGAGUGCAGAAGAGGAAAGUGGAAUUCCAUGUGUAGCGGUGAAAUGGGUAGAGAUAGGGAGGAACACCAGUGGCGAAG
rnacentral:rRNA from 1 species